UUGUUGCUUGCAUGAAAGCGCUAUAUAAAUAAAGAUGUAUAGUACUGUAUGUUAUUCACAAUGGUGGCAGUAUGCUACUGAGGGGAGAUUUAGUUACGAUCUCGACUAGCAACAGGAUUUGAGCUAUAAUUCGAGUUUUGACAAUUGUGGGAUGAGACACAUUUGUUCAUUUUGUAUUUAAUUUUGUCUCCAAUUUCUAAAGGGCUCAGGGGUUGCCUUGGAGACACCCACCUGAGCGGGUCUACUAGCCAGACAGAGAGCAGUGCCCAGGUCAUAGGCAUCGGAGUUGCGGCUGAACUUGUAGGUGGGCUUGAAAUUCAAGGGUCCCUCCUCAAAUUCCUGCAGGAAGGCCUCUUUUGUCUUCAUGCAGGUUGAGUCGUCCGCCAUUGAUGGAAGAGCGCAGGAAGUGCAGGCCGUGGUCAGCGAUGCGGAAGUUCAAAUCUCC